rnacentral:rRNA from 1 species
ACUACGGGCGGCAGCAGUGGGGAAUAUUGGACAAUGGGCGAAAGCCUGAUCUAGCCAUGCCGCGUGUGUGAAGAAGGCCUUCGGGUUGUAAAGCACUUUCAGUGGGGAAGAAAGCCUUGGGGCUAAUACCCUCGAGGAAGGACAUCACCCACAGAAGAAGCACCGGCUAACUCCGUGCCAGCAGCCGCGGUAAUACGGAGGGUGCGAGCGUUAAUCGGAAUUACUGGGCGUAAAGCGCGCGUAGGCGGUCUGAUAAGCCGGUUGUGAAAGCCCCGGGCUCAACCUGGGAACGGCAUCCGGAACUGUCAGGAUAGAGUGCAGGAGAGGAAGGUAGAAUUCCCGGUGUAGCGGUGAAAUGCGUAGAGAUCGGGAGGAAUACCAGUGGCGAAGGCGGCCUUCUGGACUGACACUGACGCUGAGGUGCGAAAGCGUGGGUAGCAAACAGGAUUAGAUACCCCAGUAGUC